UACGGGGGGGCAAGCGUUGUUCGGAAUUACUGGGCGUAAAGGGCUCGUAGGUGGCCAACUAAGUCGGACGUGAAAUCCCUCGGCUUAACCGGGGAACUGCGUCUGAUACUGGAUGGCUUGAGUUCGGGAGAGGGAUGCGGAAUUCCAGGUGUAGCGGUGAAAUGCGUAGAUAUUCGCAAGAACACCAGUGGCGAAGGCGGCUCACUGGUCCGGUACUGACGCUGAGGUGCGAAAGCGUGGGGAGCAAACAGG
rnacentral:rRNA from 1 species